rnacentral:rRNA from 1 species
GAUUAAGUUAUUAAGGGCGCACGGUGGAUGCCUUGGCACUAGAAGCCGACGAAGGACGUUACUAACGACGAUAUGCUUUGGGGAGCUGUAAGUAAGCUUUGAUCCAGAGAUUUCCGAAUGGGGAAACCCAGCACGAGUUAUGUCGUGUUAUCGAUAUGUGAAUACAUAGCAUAUCUGAAGGCAGACGCGGAGAACUGAAACAUCUUAGUACCCGCAGGAAGAGAAAGAAAAAUCGAUUCCCUGAGUAGCGGCGAGCGAAACGGGAAGAGCCCAAACCAACGAGCUUGCUUGUUGGGGUUGUAGGACACUCUAUACGGAGUUACAAAAGAACAGACUAGACGAAUCAUCUGGAAAGAUGAAUCAAAGAAGGUAAUAAUCCUGUAGUCGAAAGUUUGUUCACUCUUGAGUGGAUCCUGAGUACGACGGAACACGAGAAAUUCCGUCGGAAUCUGGGAGGACCAUCUCCCAAGGCUAAAUACUCUCUAGUGACCGAUAGUGAACCAGUACCGUGAGGGAAAGGUGAAAAGUACCCCGGAAGGGGAGUGAAAUAGAACUUGAAACCGUGUGCUUACAAGUAGUCAGAGCCCGUUAAUGGGUGAUGGCGUGCCUUUUGUAGAAUGAACCGGCGAGUUACGAUUUGAUGCAAGGUUAAGCAGUGAAUGUGGAGCCGUAGCGAAAGCGAGUCUGAAUAGGGCGUUGAGUAUUUGGUCGUAGACCCGAAACCAGGUGAUCUACCCAUGACCAGGUUGAAGUUCAGGUAACACUGAAUGGAGGACCGAACCGACUUACGUUGAAAAGUGAGCGGAUGAGUUGUGGGUAGCGGAGAAAUUCCAAUCGAACCUGGAGAUAGCUGGUUCUCUCCGAAAUAGCUUUAGGGCUAGCCUCAAGUGAUGAUUAUUGGAGGUAGAGCACUGUUUGGACGAGGGGCCCUUAUCGGGUUACCGAAUUCAGACAAACUCCGAAUGCCAAUCAAUUUAACUUGGGAGUCAGAACGCGGGUGAUAAGGUCCGUGUUCGAAAGGGAAACAGCCCAGACCACCAGCUAAGGUCCCAAAAUAUAUGUUAAGUGGAAAAGGAUGUGGCGUUGCCCAGACAACUAGGAUGUUGGCUUAGAAGCAGCCAUCAUUUAAAGAGUGCGUAAUAGCUCACUAGUCGAGUGACACUGCGCCGAAAAUGUACCGGGGCUAAACAUAUUACCGAAGCUGUGGAUUGUCCGUAAGGACAAUGGUAGGAGAGCGUUCUAAGGGCGUUGAAGCAUGAUCGCAAGGACAUGUGGAGCGCUUAGAAGUGAGAAUGCCGGUGUGAGUAGCGAAAGACGGGUGAGAAUCCCGUCCACCGAUUGACUAAGGUUUCCAGAGGAAGGCUCGUCCGCUCUGGGUUAGUCGGGUCCUAAGCUGAGGCCGAUAGGCGUAGGCGAUGGAUAACAGGUUGAUAUUCCUGUACCACCAUUAUUCGUUUUAAGCAAUGGGGGGACGCAGUAGGAUAGGCGAAGCGUACGAUUGGAUUGUACGUCCAAGCAGUGAGAUUGAGUGUUAGGCAAAUCCGGCACUCUUAAGAUUGAGCUGUGAUGGGGAGAGGAAAUUGUUUCCUCGAGUCGUUGAUUUCACACUGCCAAGAAAAGCCUCUAGCUAGAAUUGUGGUGCCCGUACCGCAAACCGACACAGGUAGUCAAGAUGAGAAUUCUAAGGUGAGCGAGCGAACUCUCGUUAAGGAACUCGGCAAAAUGACCCCGUAACUUCGGGAGAAGGGGUGCUCUUUAGGGUUAACGCCCAGGAGAGCCGCAGUGAAUAGGCCCAAGCGACUGUUUAUCAAAAACACAGGUCUCUGCUAAACCGUAAGGUGAUGUAUAGGGGCUGACGCCUGCCCGGUGCUGGAAGGUUAAGAGGAGUGGUUAGCUUCUGCGAAGCUACGAAUCGAAGCCCCAGUAAACGGCGGCCGUAACUAUAACGGUCCUAAGGUAGCGAAAUUCCUUGUCGGGUAAGUUCCGACCCGCACGAAAGGCGUAACGAUUUGGGCACUGUCUCAACGAGAGACUCGGUGAAAUCAUAGUACCUGUGAAGAUGCAGGUUACCCGCGACAGGACGGAAAGACCCCGUGGAGCUUUACUGUAGUCUGAUAUUGAAAUUCGGCACAGCUUGUACAGGAUAGGUAGGAGCCUGAGAUACGUGAGCGCUAGCUUACGUGGAGGCGUUGGUGGGAUACUACCCUCGCUGUGUUGGAUUUCUAACCCGCACCAUUUAUCAUGGUGGGAGACAGUGUCAGAUGGGCAGUUUGACUGGGGCGGUCGCCUCCUAAAGAGUAACGGAGGCGCUCAAAGGUUUCCUCAGAAUGGUUGGAAAUCAUUCAUAGAGUGUAAAGGCAUAAGGAAGCUUGACUGCGAGACUUACAAGUCGAGCAGGGUCGAAAGACGGACUUAGUGAUCCGGUGGUUCCGCAUGGAAGGGCCAUCGCUCAACGGAUAAAAGCUACCCCGGGGAUAACAGGCUUAUCUCCCCCAAGAGUUCACAUCGACGGGGAGGUUUGGCACCUCGAUGUCGGCUCAUCGCAUCCUGGGGCUGUAGUCGGUCCCAAGGGUUGGGCUGUUCGCCCAUUAAAGCGGUACGCGAGCUGGGUUCAGAACGUCGUGAGACAGUUCGGUCCCUAUCCGUCGUGGGCGUAGGAAAUUUGAGAGGAGCUGUCCUUAGUACGAGAGGACCGGGAUGGACAUACCUCUGGUGUACCAGUUGUCGUGCCAACGGCAUCGCUGGGUAGCUAUGUAUGGACGGGAUAAGUGCUGAAAGCAUCUAAGCAUGAAGCCCCCCUCAAGAUGAGAUUUCCCAACUUCGGUUAUAAGAUCCCUCAAAGAUGAUGAGGUUAAUAGGUUCGAGGUGGAAGCAUAGCGAUAUGUGCAGCUGACGAAUACUAAUCGAUCGAAGACUUAAUCAA